AGUAGAGUAAGCUAAUUAAGCUGUUGGGUCCAUACCCCAGAAAUGGGGGUUGAACUCCCCCUUCUACUA
rnacentral:tRNA from 1 species